AUCCAGCUGACGAGUCCCAAGUGGGACGAAACACUCGUACUGAAU
rfam:Schistosoma mansoni, Puerto Rico, WGS project CABG01000000 data, contig: 0171